AUUAAUUCUUGUUUUUUUAUACGUUAAAAAAGUUUUAAUUCCCUUUAGUCCGUUUGUUUCCCCCAGAUAAUCAGAUCGAUUGUAAAUGACGGCUAUUCCUGUUUGUUCGCCAGUAUUAAUUCACUAAAAGAUUAGCUGCAAAAAAUGUUUAGACAAGUAUUACUUAAAGUUAAUAAAAAUGUUAGAAAAGCCGCACGGACCAUUUAUCGGAUCGGACCAGUGAAAGAAGCUGCUCGAGCUGAGCUCACACACAUCAGUCAUGCGACAGACAGCAGACUCCGUGAGAAUCGUUUGAAUGAACCUGCAAUUUUCUGUUAUAAAAGUUCAAAACCCAGACGAAAGAAAAGCGCGCAGUCGUGAGGUAAUCCGCUCUUUCAGAGAAAAUUUAUACCAGUGCCCCUAAUUUACAUAACGUUAACGUUACUCCUACAACAAACCUUUAAGAGGGGAGCGUAAAACAGAAGCCAUAUUCGUCUUAGCGCACCAGCACUAAUUAAUUGUACUGUAAAAGUGUUUUAAUGAUUUAUUCAUAUUGAAUAUUGUUAUGCAUCUAUUGGAAUACCCUAUAAUUACAGCAGUUUCUCUUAUGAAGCUAGAUUGAUUGACAUGUUUUUUAAAUGUAUUGUACUAAAUGUGUUUAUACUUGUUUUAGACAAUGGACUUUUUCGUGAAGGAAAAAUUGCAACAAUAGAAUUUCUGCCUGUUAACUGAAACAUUUCAAGGCCUUCGUGCAGAAAUUGUCUUUAAAACCCUUCCUGCCAUCUGCACCAUACCACACAAAUAGAAAAAUGGUGUGCACAUCAUACACGGAAAUGAAGCGGUCCUUCAUUGACAUUCAACCUGUUGGCACUAAUUAGUGCUGUACUUGAAUCACGAGACAAGCCAGAGUCCACAUGUCCUGGUGCUUGGUGACAAGGAAAACUCCUCCCUAGUUUUUAUUAUUUUAAACGGGGAGGUGAUGGAACAGGAGACGAUACUACAAGCAGUCGAUCUGUGUUUCAAACAUUUCUUUGUAUAUGACAUCUACUACCCAAAGCCCUCUGCUCAUAUUUGAGAGUUUUUGGAACACACAGUCUUUAAUAGUUUCUUCUGCACACUGUCUCCUCCUUAAAAACUUUGUAUUUAGUAAUCUGUAAAAAAAACUUUUUUUUUAUUUUAUUGAUCAUCAGUAGGUCCAGCAGUAUAUUUUUUAUUAUUAUUACUUGAUUUUAUUAUUAUUUUUUGUUUUAUUAUAUGUUAUGUUCACUUUAUUUGAAAGUCGUAAUAUUUGCCAAGUGUAGUAACCCAUAUUCGGAAUUGGUGCUCUGCAUUUAACCCAUCCAAGUGCACACACACAGCAGUGAGAAGUGAACACACACCCAGAGCAGUGGGCAGCUAUAGAUCCAGCGUCCGGAGAGCAACUGGGGAUUCAGGGCCUUGCUCAAGGGCACUUCAGUCAUGGGUAUUGAGGGUGGAAGAGAGCACUGUUCAUUCAUUCUCUCCACCUACAACUCCUGCCAGCACCGAGACUCAAACCUGCGACUUUUGGGUUACAGGUCCAACUCUAACCAUUAGGUCACAGCUGUGAACUGUAUUAGCACAUUUGUGUGUUUUGAUAUGAAUAUGAAUUGACACAUUUGUACAUCUUGAAAAUGUCAGUUGUAUUUUUACACUUUCUUGUACAUUUAAA